GACGAACGCUGGCGGCGUGCCUAAUACAUGCAAGUUGAGCGCUGAAGGUUGGUACUUGUACCAACUGGAUGAGCAGCGAACGGGUGAGUACCGCGUGGGGAAUCUGCCUUUGAGCGGGGGACAACAUUUGGAAACGAAUGCUAAUACCGCAUAAAAACUUUAAACACAAGUUUUAAGUUUGAAAGAUGCAAUUGCAUCACUCAAAGAUGAUCCCGCGUUGUAUUAGCUAGUUGGUGAGGUAAAGGCUCACCAAGGCGAUGAUACAUAGCCGACCUGAGAGGGUGAGCGGCCACAUUGGGACUGAGACACGGCCCAAACGCCUAAGGGAGGCAGCAGUAGGGAAUCUUCGGCAAUGGACGAAAGUCUGACCGAGCAACGCCGCGUGAGUGAAGAAGGUUUUCGGAUCGUAAAACUCGGUUGGUAGAGAAGAACGUUGGUGAGAGUGGAAAGCUCAUCAAGUGACGGUAACUACCCAGAAAGGGACGGCUAACUACGUG
rnacentral:rRNA from 1 species